UCCGGUUUGUCACCGGCAGUCUCCUAUGAGUCCCCGACAUUACUCGCUGGCAACAUAGGACAGGGGUUGCGCUCGUUGCGCCACUUAAGGCAACACCUCACGGCACGAGCUGACGACAGCCAUGCACCACCUGUGCAGGCUCCGAAGAGCGCCCGCUUUCACGGGUUCUACCCUGCAUGUCAAGCCCAGGUAAGGUUCUUCGCGUCGCAUCGAAUUAAGCCGCAUGCUCCGCCGCUUGUGCGGGGCCCCGUCAAUUCCUUUGAGUUUUAGCCUUGCGGCCGUACUCCCCAGGCGGGGUGCUUAAUGCGUUAGCUUCGGCACGGACGGGGUCGAUAUCCGCCCACACCUAGCACCCAACGUUUACGGCUAGGACUAC
rnacentral:misc_RNA from 1 species